CAGGGCUUGACAUGCAGUCGCACCACCCGUUAUGGGGUGUGCCCGCAAGGGACGGCUGCACAGGUGCUGCAUGGCUGUCGUCAGCUCGUGUCGUGAGAUGUUGGGUUAAGUCCCGCAACGAGCGCAACCCCCAUCGUCGGUUACAAGUGUCCGGCGAGACUGCCUCGAUCAACGGGGAGGAAGGUGGGGAUGACGUCAAGUCAGCACGGCCCUUACGUCCUGGGCGACACACACGCUACAAUGGCCGGAAACAACGAGUUGCCAACCCGCGAGGGGGAGCCAAUCUCAGCAAAACCGGUCUCAGUUCAGAUUGUAGGCUGCAACCCGCCUGCAUGAAGUGGGAGUUGCUAGUGACCGUGGGUCAGCACACCACGGUGAAUACGUUCCC
rnacentral:rRNA from 1 species